AAAUCAUGCAUAGGACAUUUUCUAUACAAUUCCUUAAAUCUUUCCCAAGCUUCGUGAAGUGUUUCAUCCUUUAAUUACCGAAAAGAUGUGAUGUCAUUUCUGAGCUU
rfam:Gossypium raimondii Chr06_contig_401, whole genome shotgun sequence.